CCUACGGGGGGCAGCAGUAGGGAAUUUUCGUCAAUGGGCGCAAGCCUGAACGAGCAAUGCCGCGUGAACGAGGAAGUUCUUCGGAUCGUAAAGUUCUGUUGAAGGGGAAAAAGAGCGGAGAGAGGAAAUGGUCUCCGAUUGAUAUUACCCUUCGAGGAAGUCACGGCUAACUACGUGCCAGCAGCCGCGGUAAUACUUAGGUGGCGAGCAUUAUCCGGAAUGAUUGGGCGUAAAGGGUGCGUAGGCGGCCUGCUAAGUCUGGAGUGAAAGGUACCGGCUCAACCGGUACAGGCUCUGGAAACUGGCGGGCUAGAGAGCAGGAGAGGGAGGUGGAACUCCAUGUGUAGCGGUAAAAUGCGUAGAUAUAUGGAAGAACACCAGUGGCGAAGGCGGCCGCCUGGCCUGUUACUGACGCUGAGGCACGAAAGCGUGGGGAGCAAAUAGGAUUAGAUACCCUGGUAGUC
rnacentral:rRNA from 1 species